CAGUCGCCGCGGGAAUACGUAGGGUGCGAGCGUUAAUCGGAAUUACUGGGCGUAAAGAGUGCGUAGGCGGUGCUCUAAGUCUGUCGUGAAAUCUCCCGGCUUAACUGGGAGGGUGCGGCGGAAACUGGAAUGCUCGAGUAUGGGAGAGGUAAGCGGAAUUCCUGGUGUAGCGGUGAAAUGCGUAGAUAUCAGGAGGAACACCUGUGGUGUAGACAGCUUACUGGACCAUGACUGACGCUGAGGCACGAAAGCGUGGGUAGCAAACAGGAUUAGAUACCCCCGUAGUCCCUGUCUCUUAUAC
rnacentral:rRNA from 1 species